GGCCAGACUCCUACGGGAGGCAGCAGUGAGGAAUAUUGGUCAAUGGGCGCGAGCCUGAACCAGCCAAGUCGCGUGAGGGAAGACGGUCCUAUGGAUUGUAAACCUCUUUUGUCAGGGAGCAAAGGGCGCCACGUGUGGCGCUUUGCGAGUACCUGAAGAAAAAGCAUCGGCUAACUCCGUGCCAGCAGCCGCGGUAAUACGGAGGAUGCGAGCGUUAUUCGGAUUUAUUGGGUUUAAAGGGUGCGCAGGCGGAAUGUCAAGUCAGCGGUAAAAUUUCGGGGCUCAACCCCGUCGUGCCGUUGAAACUGGCGUUCUUGAGUGAGCGAGAAGUAUGCGGAAUGCGUGGUGUAGCGGUGAAAUGCUUAGAUAUUGCGCAGAACUCCGAUUGCGAAGGCAGCAUACCGGCGGCGAUCUGACGCUGAGGCACGAAAGCGUGGGUAUCGAACAGGAUUAGAUACCCGUGUAC
rnacentral:rRNA from 1 species